ACCUCAGCGGCUCAGCCCAGUGCAGAGCUGGUCUGACCGUCCGAGACUCGAGAGAGAGGUUGCCGCCGUUCCCGUCCACCGCAGAACGCCGCCUCCGUCGUAACCUUGCAGCCUCCUGGGGCUCCCCCGCUUCGCCUAGCCAGACGCGGUCGGUGCCCUCCGCCCGCCCGUGGCAGCUAUUCCGGCCGCCACCGACUCCACGCCCUGCCUUCCGGCGUCGCCGAACGUCGUCCCUUCCUCCCUGGCUCCCCGACUCGUCGACUCCCAGUAUCCAAACGCCAAUCGGUGACUCUCCUCUCCUCUGUGACUGCAAGCCUGCAACUUUGCUCCUCUGCCCACUGUCCUCAGUCCUCUCCCCCAAUUUUCUGUUCCUUGAAUGCUAUUCCUCUUAUUUAGUUUACAGCUAUAGUUGAUUAGUGUACAAAUGAAUUAUGUGAUGAGUUGUGUACAAAUCAAAUGAAUUGAUGAUUCUUCUUCAGUAAUUUUUUGUUUCAUCUAUUAUAACACAUGUUGUCUUUUGCUAUGUAUUACCUUAGUAAUUGAACGACUGAAUAUUGUGUUCAAAUUAUUAUCAGGGAAAUUUUUUGCUCCAAUCUUUUUUUGGCCCGGGACGUGAGUAAUUCCUGGCUCCGCUUGACCGUUACUAAUUUGUACACGGAACUUGUAAUGCUGGUGGAUCACUUUCUAUUAUUAUUCUGCUGUAGCCACUAGCUAUGCUUGUGUCCUGUGUGUCUCAAUGUGUCAUCAUGUCAUGCAUAUUUGCUAUACAGACCACAGAAAACUGAAUGCUAGUUAUUUCGUUGCUGUUAUGGUAUGCAAAUGGAGGUCAUGUUAUAUUGUUCACAGAUGCUUGCUGAUCGAUAUGAAGAUAUCCAGUCAUCAAAUGUGCAAACAAAAGUUAACUGUUGUCUCCUUAUUUUUUUAAAUCAGGCCAACUUUGGUUAGUUUGGUAUAUACCGAUGCCUUAGUAAAAAUAGUUUGGUAUCUAUCAAAACUGAACCAGUGUUUUGAUUCUAUAUUGUAUUUACCAGAAAAUAGUAUAUACCAAAACAAAUUAAACUAAAAUGCAGGGUCUGGAGCACCGAGAGACGAGUGUGAGAAGUCUUUUCUCUGAAAACAAAAAGUGUGAGAAUUCAUCACCAGCGACGGCGAGCGCUCGUGCUCACAGGAGGAGGAGGUGCAGUGACGAUAUGUUCACGAACGCUCAGCUCCAGGUUGAGCGCACCGGCCGCGGCGGCACCCUGCGAGAGCAGUACCUUCAGGACCUCGUGACCCAGUUCCAGGACCCCAGAGACGAAGCUGAAUAUUCUCGAGUUGUUCUUGGACUGCAUUACGGAGCCAAAUGAAUGGCUUGUUGAGUUUGGUGUUGGUGGAAUAUGUAAUUCAUGUGCUGAUCCAGCAAACGCUUCAGUCAUUACUCAAUGUGGUGGGAUCCCAUUGGUUGUGCAAUGCUUAUCUAGCCCAGUUAAGAAUACUGUGAAUUAUGCACUUGGAGGCUUGUACUACUUAUGCAACCCUUCGACAGAAAAGAGAUUCUGAAACCGGACGUACUUAGGGUGAUAAGAGACUAUUCUGCGGCUGGAGCCGUUAACAGCAGCUUCAGUAAUAUGGCAAAUGCGUUUCCUGGACAAGCACGUCUACACGUGACCUUGUUCAGAACCACAAAGGACUAGGCUUGUAGCACAUCAUCUGCUAGAGACAAGAGAGGAGAUGAUGUACAUGAAUUACCAUCUUGUAGCCGUUUAUCCAAGCACUGUAAUAACAGAAAUGACAUAAUUCUGAAAAUUUUAAAACCUGUGAAAACUCAGUGAGUUCAUCAGCACCGUUGUCUUGUGUUAAUAGUAUUUUUGCCCUGCACGACUGCCCCGUGGAGCAGCGCAUGGAGGAGGACAUCGGCGCAAACUGCUGCAUGUUCGUGUUACUGUCCAAGGUCGACCCGACCCAGCCACCGUCCGGGCCAUCCUCCAGCUCGAGCACCCUCGGCAGAUCCCCUGCGAUCUCAGGAUCGACUACUUUGAUGGAGUACUCCAGCUCGAGCUUAGUCUCACGACUCUCAACUCGCCAGCCCACCGAGUACUCAAGCCGCAGGUGGUGGAGUACCAUGGUGUCGCCGCUGCUCUACUCCUCCCGCUGUACUUCCUGGCGGGCCUCGGCGCGUCGCGGGCGGCCUUCGCGGUGUUCGUGCUGGUGGUGUGGGCGGUGGUGCUCACGGCCAACUCAUUCAUGCUCUUCGUCAAUCGUCAGCUCCUUCCCACCGUGCUGGUGGCGAGCUUGGCCCGACUCCACCUUGACCUGUUAGGACGGAAGGAAUUUGUGCAAAACUGGGGUCAUUGGUGGCACAAGUUUAACUAAAUGGGUGUCAAGAAAACAGAAAUCUCACUAAAUGGGGUCAAAGUUGUCAAAAAAUAAAAUUUGAGGGUAAAAAAUGGAAUUCGCUCUCUUUUUUAUUUUCAGGUGGAUGAUUCUCUUGAAUCGGACAACAAAGAGAGCAUUAAUUCAUCACCUCAUAGCUUAUGCCGGAGAUAUGAAAACACAGUGAGUCUAUGUUUGUAGUAGCAACCAAGUAAAAGAUCUUUGAUGAUUUGUGUGAUUCAAAAAAUACAGAACCAAUCUUAAAUCUUAUAUUGUUGCCACUAUUAUUCUUCAUCUGAAAUAUGAAGGGUUGUAAUAUUUUGUGUCAUAUUUUAUCUUUCCCAGGCUGUAGAGGGAGAAGCUGUUUUUGCUGCUCUAGUUAAUAAGUUUAAUGUCCUGGCUAAUGGGUGCAUUAAAAUCCAGUAUGGUUUGGAGGAGUCAAAAAGAGCUCCAGUGCAUCAUGCACCCGCUAUUGCUGAUGCAGGAAAUGAUGAUGAUACCGUUAUAGACAGGAGCUGGGUAUAUGAGGGAAGGGAGGACCGUGAACCCACCAUGAUUGGUGCACAAGAAACAGCAACUGGGACUUCAGCUCCCCCUCUUGGCGCAUCUGCUGUUGCCUCCGAUCAAAGUGGGGAAGAAAUUAUAGUGGAUACUUAGGAAUUUCCAGUUCUUAUUUUAGCAAGCUUCUAACUAUGAAGACUUAUGUUGAUAUGUGGAUUUGACAGUGGUAGUGCAUGUGCAUCCUGCGACUACUGAUACUUUUGAUGUAUCUGAUGUUGCCUCAGAUGUGGGCAGUAGAUGCAGGUCAGACUCAUUAUAUGGUGGGGGGAGGCGGGCAGGACAGGGUGGACUCCGGCAUAUCACGG